CAGUGAUUAGCAGUGAUUAGCAUGGUGGUGGUGUAUGAGGUGUUAGUGUGUGUUGAGCUGGUGGUACAGUGAGUGGAUUAGAUACAGCAGUGAUUAGCAGUGAUUAGCAUGGUGGUGGUGUAUGAGGUGUUAGUGUGUGUUGAGCUGGUGGUACAGUGAGUGGAUCAGAUACAGCAGUGAUUAGCAGUGAUUAGCAUGGUGGUGGUGUAUGAGGUGUUAGUGUGUGUUGAGCUGGUGGUACAGUGAGUGGAUCAGAUACAGCAGUGAUUAGCAGUGAUUAGCAUGGUGGUGGUGUAUGAGGUGUUAGUGUGUGUUGAGCUGGUGGUACAGUGAGUGGAUCAGAUACAGCAGUGAUUAGCAGUGAUUAGCAUGGUGGUGGUGUAUGAGGUGUUAGUGUGUGUUGAGCUGGUGGUACAGUGAGUGGAUCAGAUACAGCAGUGAUUAGCAGUGAUUAGCAUGGUGGUGGUGUAUGAGGUGUUAGUGUGUGUUGAGCUGGUGGUACAGUGAGUGGAUCAGAUACAGCAGUGAUUAGCAGUGAUUAGCAUGGUGGUGGUGUAUGAGGUGUUAGUGUGUGUUGAGCUGGUGGUACAGUGAGUGGAUCAGAUACAGCAGUGAUUAGCAGUGAUUAGCAUGGUGGUGGUGUAUGAGGUGUUAGUGAGUGUUGAGCUGCUGGUACAGUGAGUGGAUCAGAUACAGCAGUGAUUAGCAGUGAUUAGCAUGGUGGUGGUGUAUGAGGUGUUAGUGAGUGUUGAGCUGGUACAGUGAGUGGAUCAGAUACAGCAGUGAUUAGCAGUGAUUAGCAUGGUGGUGGUGUAUGAGGUGUUAG